rnacentral:rRNA from 1 species
AUUGAACGCUGGCGGCAUGCUUUACACAUGCAAGUCGGACGGCAGCACAGAGAAGCUUGCUUCUUGGGUGGCGAGUGGCGAACGGGUGAGUAACAUAUCGGAACGUACCGAGCAGUGGGGGAUAACUAAUCGAAAGAUUAGCUAAUACCGCAUAUUUUCUGAGGAAGAAAGCAGGGGACCAUUUGGCCUUGCGCUGUUUGAGCGGCCGAUAUCUGAUUAGCUAGUUGGUGGGGUAAAGGCCUACCAAGGCGACGAUCAGUAGCGGGUCUGAGAGGAUGAUCCGCCACACUGGGACUGAGACACGGCCCAGACUCCUACGGGAGGCAGCAGUGGGGAAUUUUGGACAAUGGGCGCAAGCCUGAUCCAGCCAUGCCGCGUGUCUGAAGAAGGCCUUCGGGUUGUAAAGGACUUUUGUCAGGGAAGAAAAGGGCGGGGUUAAUACCCCUGUCUGAUGACGGUACCUGAAGAAUAAGCACCG